rnacentral:lncRNA from 1 species
AAUAAUAUAUUAUAUUAUUAUAUUCAAACCUAAUAUAAAUAUCAUAGGUAAUUUUCGGUUUUAGUGUUAAUGUAUGAAAUUCAUAUUCUUUCAUUUUCUCUUUAGAUCUGUUUGUUUUAUCUAUUUAUAAGUAAAAUUUAUAAAUUAUUAUUUUUAUUUAGGUUAAAUAGUUAAAUAUCUUAAAUAGAUAUACUAUUAAUAUAUUUAUUUAAACUAAUUAAAGAAACACGUUGAGUUUUUGGUUCGGUUCGGUUUAAAACCAAACUAUACUAAACCAUUUGGGUUGAUUGAAUCUUUAAUCAAAUAGUUUAGACAUAUACUUUGGUUUGGGUUCGGUUGGGUUGCUUCGGUUCUGCUUUUCUUCCCACCCCUACACUAUAUCAUCGGAGUUGAUUGGCAAAGUGGCCCAAUUCCUAGUAUACUAGUUUUAGACCAUUUUUUACAUCCUAUCUUUAUUCAACUCAAAGCCCCCAUGAAUGGAAACUA